rnacentral:rRNA from 1 species
GAUGAACGCUAGCGAUAGGCUUAACACAUGCAAGUCGAGGGGCAGCACAAGGUAGCUUGCUAUCUGGGUGGCGACCGGCGCACGGGUGCGUAACGCGUAUGCAACUUGCCCUAUACAGGAGGAUAACCCGUCGAAAGACGGACUAAUACUGCGUAUGCUCACAACUUGGCAUCAAGUGGUGAGGAAAGAAAUUCGGUAUAGGAUAGGCAUGCGUCCCAUUAGCUUGUUGGUGAGGUAACGGCUCACCAAGGCAACGAUGGGUAGGGGAACUGAGAGGUUUACCCCCCACCCGGGACUGGGGCACCGACCAGGCUCCCACCGGAGGCAGCAAUGGGGGAUAUUGGUCCAAGGGCGCCAGCCUGAACCAGCCAAGUCGCGUGAAGGAUGACUGUCUUAUGGAUUGUAAACUUCUUUUAUACGGGAAUAACAAGAGUCACGUGUGACUCCCUGCAUGUACCGUAUGAAUAAGCAUCGGCUAACUCCGUG